UACGUAGGUGGCAAGCGUUGUCCGGAAUUAUUGGGCGUAAAGCGCGCGCAGGCGGUCCUUUAAGUCUGAUGUGAAAGCCCACGGCUCAACCGUGGAGGGUCAUUGGAAACUGGGGACUUGAGUACAGAAGAGAAGAGUGGAAUUCCACGUGUAGCGGUGAAAUGCGUAGAGAUGUGGAGGAACACCAGUGGCGAAGGCGACUCUUGGUCUGUAACUGACGCUGAGGCGCGAAAGCGUGGGAGCAAACAGG
rnacentral:rRNA from 1 species